GACGAACGCUGGCGGCGUGCUUAACACAUGCAAGUCGAACGGAAAGGCCCUGCUUUUGUGGGGUGCUCGAGUGGCGAACGGGUGAGUAACACGUGAGUAACCUGCCCUUGACUUUGGGAUAACUUCAGGAAACUGGGGCUAAUACCGGAUAGGAGCUCCUGCUGCAUGGUGGGGGUUGGAAAGUUUCGGCGGUUGGGGAUGGACUCGCGGCUUAUCAGCUUGUUGGUGGGGUAGUGGCUUACCAAGGCUUUGACGGGUAGCCGGCCUGAGAGGGUGACCGGCCACAUUGGGCCUGGGAUACGGCCCAGACUCAUACGGGAGGCAGCAGUGGGGAAUAUUGCACACUGGGCGGAAGCCUGAUGCAGCAACGCCGCGUGCGGGAUGACGGCCUUCGGGUUGUAAACCGCUUUCGCCUGUGACGAAGCGUGAGUGACGGGAAUGGGUAAAGAAGCACCGGCGAACUACGU
rnacentral:rRNA from 1 species